UAAUAAGUGUUUUAUGGCACUUUUUAAAUCCAUAUCCACCUUGUGUGCAAUGUCAGUCCGAUUUUCUUCUAUGGAAAGAGCGACCAAACAUCAACCUUUAUCUUUUUAAACCUGUCUUGUCUGAAAAACUAUUAUGAAUAAACAAUUCAAAAUA
rnacentral:misc_RNA from 1 species